AUAUCCCGCCUGGGAAGUAUGCUCGCAAGAGUGAUACUCAAAGGAAUUGACGGUGGCCCGCACCAGCGGUGGAGCAUGUGGUUUAAUUCGAUGCAACGCGAAGAACCUUACCAGGGUUUGACAUGAUACGAAUUUCUUUGAAAGAAGAAAGUCCCGUUCCCCCCGUAUACACAGGAGGUGGGUGGCUGUCGUCAGCUCGUGUCGUGAGAUGUUGGGUUAAGUAAAGCAACGAGCGCAACCCUCAUUCUUAGUUGCCUUAUGGAACUCUAGAAAGACUGCCGGUUAUAAACCGGAGGAAGGCGGGGAUGACGUCAAGUCAGGAUGCCCCUUACACCCUGUGCUACACACGUGCUACAAUGG
rnacentral:rRNA from 1 species